GACGAACGCUGGCGGCGUGCUUAACACAUGCAAGUCGUACGGUAAGGCCCUUUCGGGGGUACUCGAGUGGCGAACGGGUGAGUAACACGUGAGUAACCUGCCCACAACUUUGGGAUAACGCUAGGUAACUGGUGCUAAUACUGGAUAUGUGCUCCUGCUGCAUGGUCGGGGUUGGUAAGCUCCGGCGGUUGUGGAUGGACUCGCGGCCUAUCAGCUUGUUGGUGGGGUAGUGGCCUACCAAGGCGGCGACGGGUAGCCGACCUGAGAGGGUGACCGGCCACAUUGGGACUGAGAUACGGCCCAGACUCCUACGGGAGGCAGCAGUGGGGAAUAUUGCACAAUGGGCGCAAGCCUGAUGCAGCAACGCCGCGAGCGGGAUGACGGGCUUCGGGUUGUAAACCGCUUUCAGCAGGGACGAAGCUUUUUGUGACGGUACCUGCAGAAGAAGCACCGGCUAACUACGUG
rnacentral:rRNA from 1 species